rnacentral:rRNA from 1 species
AGCAGCCGCGGUAAUUCCAGCUCCAAUAGCGUAUAUUAAAGUUGUUGCAGUUAAAAAGCUCGUAGUUGAAUUUCGGGGUUAGUAGGUUGGUCAUGCCUCUGGUAUGUACUGGUCUCACUGAUUCCUCCUUCCUGAUGAACCUUAAUGCCAUUAAUUUGGUGUUUUGGGGAAUUUGGACUGUUACUUUGAAAAAAUUAGAGUGUUUAAAGCAAGCUAACGCUUGAAUACAUUAGCAUGGAAUAAUGAAAUAGGACGUUCGAUCCUAUUUUGUUGGUUUCUAGGAUUGACGUAAUGAUUAAUAGGGAUAGUUGGGGGCAUUAGUAUUCAAUUGUCAGAGGUGAAAUUCUUGGAUUUAUUGAAGACUAACUACUGCGAAAGCAUUUGCCAAGGAUGUUUUCAUUAAUCAAGAACGAAAGUUAGGGAAUCGAAGACGAUCAGAUACCGUCGUAGUCUUAACCAUAAACUAUGCCGACUAGGGAUCGGAUGAUGUUAAUUUUUUAAUGACUCAUUCGGCGCCUUACG